rnacentral:rRNA from 1 species
AACCAGCUCUUCAAGUGGUCGGGAUAAUUAUUGGGCUUAAAGUGUCCGUAGCCGGUUUAGUAAGUUCCUGGUAAAAUCGGGUAGCUUAACUAUCUAUAUGCUAGGAAUACUGCUAUACUAGAGGGCGGGAGAGGUCUGAGGUACUACAGGGGUAGGGGUGAAAUCUUAUAAUCCUUGUAGGACCACCAGUGGCGAAGGCGUCAGACUGGAACGCGCCUGACGGUGAGGGACGAAAGCCAGGGGAGCGAACCGGAUUAGAUACCCGGGUAGUCCUGGCUGUAAACGAUGCAUACUAGGUGAUGGUACGGCCAUGAGCCGUGUCAGUGCCGUAGGGAAACCGUUAAGUGUGCCGCCUGGGAAGUACGGUCGCAAGGCUGAAACUUAAAGGAAUUGGCGGGGGAGCACCACAAGGGGUGAAGCUUGCGGUUU